GGCAAGAUGACCGAGUGGUUAAGGUAAAUUUGCACUGCCCUCACACAAUCGAUCGACCUCAUCUAACAGGAAAAUAGGUGUAUGACUCAAGCUAUAGCUUGUCCUAGACAACUAGGGUUACUUCAUAUGUCGCAAGACGCGUGGGUUCGAAUCCCACUCUUGUCA
rfam:Aspergillus flavus AF70 625, whole genome shotgun sequence.